AUGGGACUAACUUUCCUACAUGGAAGGAGCAGAUUUCCAUUAACCUUGGGGUCAUGGAUCUUGACUACGCACUUAGGGAGAAGGCUCCAGUUCCCUUUGUCCUUGUCCUCUGAUGAUGAAAACCAUGCUGAGAAAACUAAGGUUUAUGAGGCUAACAAGGAGAAGUGGGAGCGCUCCAAUCGAUUGUCCCUCAUGAUCAUGAAAAGCUUAAUUACUCUUGGGAUUAUGGGAGCAAUCCCCGAUUCCGAAUGUGCUAAGACUUAUCUGGCAUCGGUGGAGGAACAAUUUAAAGGCUCCACAAAAGUCUAUGCCAGCACACUGAUCAUGAAAAUGCUCACCACUAAAUAUGAUGGUAAAAGUGGCGUGAGAGAACAUAUCAUGACUAUGAAUGAUAUGGCCGCAAAAUUAAAGGGCAUGGACAUGGAGAUUUCUGAGGGCUUCCUGGUUCAUUUCAUUAUGACUUCUCUCCCUAUGGAGUAUGGUCCCUUCAAGAUUAAUUAUAAUCACUGUUCAAGAACUCGGUCGAGUUACCAUUUAAAUGCCCAUUUAAUCGCUACUCAGUGCCUAACUGAGGCGAGUAGCACGUACUCGUUUCAUUAA
rnacentral:rRNA from 1 species